GCCUCUGUGGCGGAACUGGCAUACGCGCAUGGCUUAGGACCAUGUCCCAGAAAUGGGUUGGAGGUUCAAAUCCUCCCAGAGGCA
rnacentral:tRNA from 1 species